rnacentral:rRNA from 1 species
GAAAGAAAAGAGUGGCGAACGGGUGAGUAACACGUGGGUAACCUGCCCAUCAGAAGGGGAUAACACUUGGAAACAGGUGCUAAUACCGUAUAACACUAUUUUCCGCAUGGAAGAAAGUUGAAAGGCGCUUUUGCGUCACUGAUGGAUGGACCCGCGGUGCAUUAGCUAGUUGGUGAGGUAACGGCUCACCAAGGCAACGAUGCAUAGCCGACCUGAGAGGGUGAUCGGCCACACUGGGACUGAGACACGGCCCAGACUCCUACGGGAGGCAGCAGUAGGGAAUCUUCGGCAAUGGACGAAAGUCUGACCGAGCAACGCCGCGUGAGUGAAGAAGGUUUUCGGAUCGUAAAACUCUGUUGUUAGAGAAGAACAAGGAUGAGAGUAAAACGUUCAUCCCUUGACGGUAUCUAACCAGAAAGCCACGGCUAACUACGUGCCAGCAGCCGCGGUAAUACGUAGGUGGCAAGCGUUGUCCGGAUUUAUUGGGCGUAAAGCGAGCGCAGGCGGUUUCUUAAGUCUGAUGUGAAAGCCCCCGGCUCAACCGGGGAGGGUCAUUGGAAACUGGGAGACUUGAGUGCAGAAGAGGAGAGUGGAAUUCCAUGUGUAGCGGUGAAAUGCGUAGAUAUAUGGAGGAACACCAGUGGCGAAGGCGGCUCUCUGGUCUGUAACUGACGCUGAGGCUCGAAAAGCGUGGGGAGCGAACAGGGAUUAGAUACCCUGGUAGUCCACGCCGUAAACGAUGAGUGCUAAGUGUUGGAGGGUUUCCGCCCUUCAGUGCUGCAGCAAACGCAUUAAGCACUCCGCCUGGGGAGUACGACCGCAAGGUUGAAACUCAAAGGAAUUGACGGGGGCCCGCACAAGCGGUGGAGCAUGUGGUUUAAUUCGAAGCAACGCGAAGAACCUUACCAGGUCUUGACAUCCUUUGACCACUCUAGAGAUAGAGCUUCCCCUUCGGGGGCAAAGUGACAGGUGGUGCAUGGUUGUCGUCAGCUCGUGUCGUGAGAUGUUGGGUUAAGUCCCGCAACGAGCGCAACCCUUAUUGUUAGUUGCCAUCAUUUAGUUGGGCACUCUAGCGAGACUGCCGGUGACAAACCGGAGGAAGGUGGGGAUGACGUCAAAUCAUCAUGCCCCUUAUGACCUGGGCUACACACGUGCUACAAUGGGAAGUACAACGAGUUGCGAAGUCGCGAGGCUAAGCUAAUCUCUUAAAGCUUCUCUCAGUUCGGAUUGUAGGCUGCAACUCGCCUACAUGAAGCCGGAAUC